GCAGUCGAGCGAGAAGCUCCUUCGGGAGUUAGUAGAGCGGCGGACGGGUGAGUACAACGUGGAUAAUCUACCUUCAGGUUCGGGAUAACUCCGGGAAACCGAAGCUAAUACCGAAUAAGACCACAGCAUCUGCGGAUACAGAGGUAAAAGGUGGCUAGCUUGCUAGCUAUCACCUGGAGAUGAGUUCACGCCCCAUCAGGUAGUUGGUAAGGUAAUGGCUUACCAAGCCUAAGACGGGUAGCCGGCCUUAGCGGGUGGUCGGCCACACGGGGACUGAGACACGGCCCCGACUCCUACGGGAGGCAGCAGUGGGGAAUCUUGGGCAAUGGGCGCAAGCCUGACCCAGCGAUGCCGCGUAAGGGAUGAAGGCCUUCGGGUCGUAAACCUUUGUCAGGAGGGAAGAUGGGUUUGCAGGUUAAUACCCUGCAAACUUGACGGUACCUCCAGAGGGAGCCCCGGCUAACUCCGUGCCAGCAGCCGCGGUAAUACGGAGGGGGCAAGCGUUGCUCGGAAUUACUGGGCGUAAAGGGUCCGUAGGCGGUUUUGCAAGUUGGAUGUGAAAGCUCAAGGCUCAACCUUGGAAUUGCAUCCAAAACUGCAUUACUUGAGUCCAAGAGAGGUUGGCGGAAUUCCCGGUGUAGCGGUGAAAUGCGUAGAUAUCGGGAGGAACACCAGUGGCGAAGGCGGCCAACUGGCUUGGUACUGACGCUGAGGGACGAAAGCGUGGGGAGCGAACCGGAUUAGAUACCCGGGUAGUCCACGCCCUAAACGAUGGAUGCU
rnacentral:rRNA from 1 species